rnacentral:rRNA from 1 species
UACGUAGGGUGCGAGCGUUAAUCGGAAUUACUGGGCGUAAAGCGUGCGCAGGCGGUUUGUUAAGUCAGAUGUGAAAUACCCGAGCUUAACUUGGGUGCUGCAUUUGAAACUGGGUGUCUAGAGUGCAGGAGAGGUAAGUGGAAUUCCUAGUGUAAGCGGUGGAAUGCGCAGAGUAUCAGGAGGAACACCGAUGGCGAAGGCAGAUCUCUGGGCCGUAACUGACGCUGAGGAGCGAAAGCAUGGGGAGCGAACAGG